ensembl:lncRNA LINC01091 long intergenic non-protein coding RNA 1091
AGUGGGAAGGGGGACUGGAAAGGGGAUGUAGUGGGAAGGUGGUCCUCCCCUGGAAUUUGGGUGUCAUGCCAUCAAGCUGUCCCUUUGAAGCCAAGCUGCUUCUCUCUGAUGUCCAGAUGCUGGUUCUCUUCUCUCCUUCUCUGCCACGCCGCUCUGCUGAAUUAUUGAUCAAAUUUGGAUCUCUGUGUGCUGUCCUCCAAUUUAAUACUUUCUGUGUUGCUGUUUUAUUUUCUUUCUUCUGGAACCUGGCAAAGUGCGUCAAGCGAUGAGGCUUCCUCUUUGAAGAUCACAGGUGAGAAGAUUAGGUGCUUUCUCAGAAGCCCAGCAACCUGAUGGGAGUGUGGAGUGAGCAAGACCCAAAUCGGAGCUUCAUCCCUGCAUGGUUCAUUUUGCUUAUUUGGCAAACUUGCCCUGCAGGCAUCCAAUGGCAUUACACCUCAGCCAGAGAAGAAGCUCUUAAGAGAUCAGGUGCCUCAUUUCACCCAUGGGCUGCUCCAGCAUUUCCAGCCUCCUCACUCCUGACACAUACAGGCACGUGCUCUCUGUGGAGUCUUUGCACUUCUCCUUUCCUUCCUGAAAUGCUCUUCCCCUGGGUGUCUUCAUCCUACCUCCCUCAACUCUUUCAUCUUGUUUAAAAAAUGUCAUUUUCUCAGUGAGAACUUCCUUGUCUUAUUCAGUUUGGGCUUCUCUAAUAAAAAUACUAUAGACUGAGUGGCUUAAACAGCAGAAAUUUAUUUCCCACAGUUCUAGAGGCUGAGAAGUCUGAGAUCAGGGUACCAGCCUGGUUGGAUUCUCAGUUUAGAGACAGCUAUCUUCUCAUUGUAUCUCACCUGGUGGAGAGCAGAGAGGGAGGAAGCAAGCUCUCUCACGUCUCUUCUUAUAAGGACACUAAUCCCAUUCAUGAUGGCUCCAUCCUCAUGACCAAAGGCCUUGCCUCCAAAUAUCAUCACACUGGGGAUUUGGCUUCAACAUUUGAUUUUGGGGGUGGGAAACAAAAAAUUUAGUCCAUAGCAUUCCCAAGUGAUUUGUUUAAAUUUUCUACUUAAUCUCUUCUGUGCUUAAAUGUAUCUCCUUAGUAUUGUCCUUUAUCUAUUGCCAAUGUAACUCAUCUAUGUAUCUCUCUAUUUAUCACCUGUGUAUGUAUGUAUGUAUGUACUGUGAAUGUGUGUGUAUGUAUGUAGGUAUGUAUGUAUCUACCUGUCUAGUUUAUCUAACUUGCUUCAGAAACAGGAAACUCUUUGAAGAGCAGUGUUUUUUUCUUUUUAGUUGUUCAUUUAUGUAUAACCAUGGCACUAGAAAGUAAGAAGGCAAAAAGAUUCUUUGCAUAUACAUUUAUUGAAGUACAUACUAAUUGAAUAAAAGUAUUUUAUAUC